UUCUAUCCAUGACUGCCUGUUUUUGGUGUCAUUGCCACCAAUGAACACAGAAACAGCCUAGAAACCUACUUACUAUCCAACUAGGAAAAAAGCGAAAUGACAUUAUUUCUUUA